rnacentral:rRNA from 1 species
AUUGAACGCUGGCGGCAGGCUUAACACAUGCAAGUCGAGCGAGCGGCGGACGGGUGAGUAAUGUCUGGGAAACUGCCUGAUGGAGGGGGAUAACUACUGGAAACGGUAGCUAAUACCGCAUACCAUCAGAUGUGCCGAGAUGGGAUUAGCUAGUGGGUGGGGUAAUGGCUCACCUAGGCGACGAUCCCUAGCUGGUCUGAGAGGAUGACCAGCCACACUGGAACUGAGACACGGCCCAGACUCCUACGGGAGGCAGCAGUGGGGAAUUUUGCACAAUGGGCGAAAGCCUGAUGCAGCCAUGCCGCGUGUGUGAAGAAGGCCUUCGGGUUGUAAAGCACUUUCAGCGGAGAGGCGUUACCCGCAGAAUAAGCACCGGCUAACUACGUGCCAGCAGCCGCGGUAAUAC